rnacentral:rRNA from 1 species
AGUGAACGCUGGCGGUAGGCCUAGCACAUGCAAGUCGAACGGCAGCACAGUAAGAGCUUGCUCUUACGGGUGGCGAGUGGCGGACGGGUGAGGAAUACAUCGGAAUCUACUUUUUCGUGGGGGAUAACGUAGGGAAACUUACGCUAAUACCGCAUACGACCUACGGGUGAAAGCAGGGGAUCUUCGGACCUUGCGCGAUUGAAUGAGCCGAUGUCGGAUUAGCUAGUUGGCGGGGUAAAGGCCCACCAAGGCGACGAUCCGUAGCUGGUCUGAGUGGAUGAUCAGCCACACUGGAACUGAGACACGGUCCAGACUCCUACGGGAGGCAGCAGUGGGGAAUAUUGGACAAUGGGCGCAAGCCUGAUCCAGCCAUACCGCGUGGGUGAAGAAGGCCUUCGGGUUGUAAAGCCCUUUUGUUGGGAAAGAAAAGCAGCAGGUUAAUACCCCGCUGUUCUGACGGUACCCAAAGAAUAAGCACCGGCUAACUUCGUG